rnacentral:rRNA from 1 species
GUAGGUGGCAAGCGUUGUCCGGAAUUACUGGGCGUAAAGCGCGCGCAGGCGGUUCUUUAAGUCUGAUGUGAAAGCCCACGGCUCAACCGUGGAGGGUCAUUGGAAACUGGAGAACUUGAGUACAGAAGAGGAAAGCGGAAUUCCACGUGUAGCGGUGAAAUGCGUAGAGAUGUGGAGGAACACCAGUGGCGAAGGCGGCUUUCUGGUCUGUAACUGACGCUGAGGCGCGAAAGCGUGGGGAGCAAACAGGAUUAGAUACCCUGGUAGUCCACGCCGUAAACGAUGAGUGCUAAGUGUUAGGGGGUUUUCCGCCCCCCUUAGUGCUGCAGCUAACGCAUUAAGCACUCCGCCUGGGAGUACGGCCGCAAGGCUG